GACGUAGGGCGCGAGCGUUGUCCGGAUUUAUUGGGCGUAAAGAGCUCGUAGGCGGCUUGUCGCGUCGUCUGUGAAAUCCCGCGGCUCAACCGCGGGUCUGCAGUCGAUACGGGCAGGCUAGAGUUCGGUAGGGGAGACUGGAAUUCCUGGUGUAGCGGUGAAAUGCGCAGAUAUCAGGAGGAACACCGGUGGCGAAGGCGGGUCUCUGGGCUGACACUGACGCUCAUGCACGAAAGCGUGGGGAGCAAACAGG
rnacentral:rRNA from 1 species